rnacentral:lncRNA from 1 species
CCUUCAUUCCAAUCACUGAAAUUCUUCACACAGAAUUGCCAUUCACAUUACAGUGUUUCACACAAACACAGACUCAUUCUCUCUGCUGAACUACAAUCAGAUUUCAGCAUUCAAUCUUUCUUCUUCUGAAAUAGUACCAAUCACAUUUCCAUUCUAUAAUUCACUUCACAAUAUUCAAAAACUCUCAAUCCUCUUAUUCAAAGAAAAUAACAAACAAAAGAAAAGAGGUAGCACCAAGCUUAUCCCGGCUCACACUA